GGGGCUGCAGGAGCAGCACUUACCUCAGAAGGUCACUGUGAGGAAUAAGUGAGCUAAAACAGGUGUGACACCGGAAAGGCCACCGAGCCCUGAGCCAGCGCUCAGGGCCUGGCGUGGCCGCCUCUCCGGUCUGCCUCCGCUCUCGGCCCCGCCUGCCGUGGGCACAGCUGUGAGUCAGCGACGCCCUCACCUCUGUCUGCUUCGAGUCGGUUCUUCUUGCUCCUCUCCAAACCAUCUAGUCUGUUCGCAUUCCUCUUAAAAGGAGGAGACCAAGCCUGAGCUCGCCACUCGGGGGAAUAAGAUCUGACCCAUCGCAAAGCUUCAACUUCCUCACUUGGUAAAUGGGAAGAAGGACAAGACCUACUUCCUUGGAUCACUGCAAGGCUCUAAGAAGAUUAAACAAGUCAAGUUUGGGAAAGAGCAGUGUGCACCUGGCACCUCCAUCUCCUCCCUUCCCAUUCACGUCUGGACCCGGAGAGCACAACCCAGGCUCCACUACCAUUUCUGGUAAAGAGCAUCAUGUCCUAAAACUGGAAAAUCCCAGGGAUGAAACCUCCCGAGAAGGGCUGAUGCCUGGAAAAAAGCAUGAGGAAGGCUUCUGGAGUACCAGCAACACCCUAAAUCCUGAGUCAGGUGCUGGUUACCUGGGGGUGUGUCGCUUCUAAAAACUCAUUAAGCUCUCCAAUUAUGAUAUGUGUGUGUGUUGCUCUCUCUAUAUAUUAUGCCAAAAUUAAAGGUAUGUUACAAUCAAUAGAUAUAAAAUCAUUUGUCUACUCCACUCUAAAAUAAAAUAAAAUACACUUACUAAUCUACUUUUACAUUCAUUCAGAAAUUUUCAUCCCAAGCCUAAAUUUUUUA